rnacentral:rRNA from 1 species
GAUCAUGCUCAGGACGAACGCUGGCGGCGUGCUUAACACAUGCAAGUCGAACGAGAAUCUACAGAUCGAGGAUUCGUCCAAGAGAAGUAGAGGACAGUGGCGGACGGGUGAGUAACGCGUGAGGAACCUGCCUUUCAGAGGGGGACAACAGUUGGAAACGACUGCUAAUACCGCAUGACACAUUGGGGUCGCAUGGCCUUGAUGUCAAAGAUUUAUCG